rnacentral:rRNA from 1 species
UACAGAGGUCCCAAGCGUUGUUCGGAUUCACUGGGCGUAAAGGGUGCGUAGGCGGUCGGGUAAGUCUGUCGUGAAAUCUCCGAGCCCAACUCGGAAACUGCGUCGGAUACUAUUCGGCUAGAGGAAUGGAGGGGAGACUGGAAUUCCCGGUGUAGCGGUGAAAUGCGCAGAUAUCGGGAGGAACACCAAUGGCGAAGGCAGCUCGCUGGGACGUUACUGACGCUGAGACGCGAAAGCGUGGGGAGCAAACAGG